AGGCGAGCGUAUCCCGGAUUUACUGGGUGUAAAGCGCGUGCAGGCGGUCAUGUAAGUGGUGCGUGAAAGCGCCCGGCUCAACCGGGCGAGGCCGUGCCAAACUGCGUGACUGGAGGCAGGUAGAGGCGCGUGGAAUUCCGGGUGUAGUGGUGAAAUGCGUAGAUAUCCGGAGGAACACCAGUGGCGAAGGCGGCGCGCUGGGCCUGACCUGACGCUAAGACGCGAAAGCAUGGGGAGCGAACGGGAUUAGAAACCCCGGUAGUCCAUGCUGUAAACGCUGCAGACUAGGUGUUGCGUGCGACGAGUAUGCAGUGCCGAAGCCAACGUGAUAAGUCUGCCACCUGGGGACUACGGCCGCAAGGUUAAAACUCAAAGGAAUUGACGGGGGCCCGCACAAGCAGCGGAGCGUGUGGUUUAGUUCGAGGCUACACGAAGAACCUUACCUGGGCUUGACAUGGCGGUGGUAGGGAACCGAAAGGGGACCGACCUUCGGGAGCCGUCACAGGUGCUGCAUGGCUGUCGUCAGCUCGUGUCGUGAGAUGUUCGGUUAAGUCCGGUAACGAGCGCAACCCUCGCCGCUAGUUACAAGUGUCUAGCGGGACUGCCCGUUGAACGCGGGAGGAAGGUGGGGAUGACGUCAAGUCAGCAUGGCCUUUAUGUCCAGGGCUACACACACGCUACAAUGGCCGGUACAAUGGGUCGCCAACCCGCGAGGGGGAGCCAAUCCAUCAAAGCCGGUCUCAGUUCGGAUUGCAGGCUGCAACCCGCCUGCAUGAAGUCGGAGUUGCUAGUAACCGCAGGUCAGCUAUACUGCGGUGAAUACGUUCCCGGGCCUUGCA
rnacentral:rRNA from 1 species